ACCGGGUGUGGUGGCACAUGCCUGUAGUCCCAACUGCUUGGGAGGCUGAGGCAGGAGGAUCACUUGAGCCCAGGAGGUCAAGGGUGCAGUGAGUCCUGAUUGUGCCACUGCACUCUGGCCUGGGCAACAGAGCAAGACCCUGUCUCAA
ensembl:misc_RNA Metazoa_SRP Metazoan signal recognition particle RNA